CGGGGAACUGUUUCCCUCCCCAAAAGGCUAGCUUCUCCAACGUCCGUAAAGUUCAGUGCAUGGCCACUUAGUCCAACUUCCCUCUCACUGCAGACAUCUUUCUGAUGCAGUCAACCACCCUGCACCUCCGUGUGUGUCUCCAGCCUUGUGGAAAGUGCCUGCUUCCUCUUCACUUCCUGCCAUGAUUAUGUUUUCUGAGGCCUCCUAGUCAUGCUUCCUGCUAAGCCUGUGGAACUACACACUUUCAUGAAAUAUUUUUUGAAACAUGAC
rnacentral:lncRNA from 1 species